UACGAAGGGGGCGAGCGUUAUUCGGAUUUACUGGGCGUAAAGGGCGCGCAGGCGGUUCUGUUUGUCGAGUGUGAAAGCCCCGGGCUCAACCUGGGAACUGCGCUCGAAACGGCGGAACUAGAGUUCGGGAGAGGAGAGUGGAAUUCCCAGUGUAGAGGUGAAAUUCGUAGAUAUUGGGAAGAACACCGGUGGCGAAGGCGGCUCUCUGGACCGAUACGUGACGCUGAGGCGCGAAAGCGUGGGGAGCAACAGG
rnacentral:rRNA from 1 species